rnacentral:rRNA from 1 species
UACGGAGGAUGCGAGCGUUAUCCGGAUUUAUUGGGUUUAAAGGGUGCGUAGGCGGCGAGUUAAGUCAGCGGUCAAAUCGUGGGGCUCAACCCCAUCCAGCCGUUGAAACUGAUGAUCUUGAGUGGGCGAGAAGUAUGCGGAAUGCGUGGUGUAGCGGUGAAAUGCAUAGAUAUCACGCAGAACUCCGAUUGCGAAGGCAGCAUACCGGCGCCCGACUGACGCUGAAGCACGAAAGCGUGGGUAUCGAACAGG